ACUCUCCCUCCCCGAGUCUGUCAUGUGAUGAAGUUGGCUGGGCGUGGAAAAGUUAGCUCCCAGAUCCAGCUUCAGUCUGUUCGCUGCGCUCCAGCGUCGGAUAUCUAACCACCGUGUCCUUGUCGCCGCGCAAAGGGCUCUGACUGUACAGGAUUACCAGCGCCGCGAUUUCCUACUCUUUUCCCCGCGGAAGGAAUGUUGUUUUCUCGGUUCUAACUGCCAAAGGGAGAUUUAUGUGAACUUUUUUCCGACUUGGAAAUAUAUUUUAUUGGGGUUGUGAUUUUUUUGCGAUCAUUUCGUGGAGAGGGACAGAACUCCGGUCUGCGUCCGCACAGCACAGAAACUGACGUUACCCAGAGAGACAUGAAGAAUUCCUCAUCAUGAGUUGGAGUACUAGAAGGAUUCCGCACUAGAGGAGCAUCACUAAAGGCACAGCUAAACCAGAGGAGACAGGAGAGGAGAGGAAGAAGAAAGAAACGAGAGGAGAGGAGGAGAAGAGGGAACGACAGCAGAGGAGGAGAGGAGGAGAAGACAACAGGGAAGAGGCAUCUGGAAUCCUGUUGGAAUACUCCGGAACCGUAUUGGAACACUGCGGAGCGCUUCUGGAACGACUGGGAGUGUCGUUGGAAUACUGCGGGAGAGGAGAGGCGGGCCCCAGUGUAGCGGGACAACAC